UACGUAGGGCGCAAGCGUUGUCCGGAAUUAUUGGGCGUAAAGAGCUCGUAGGCGGUUUGUCGCGUCUGCUGUGAAAACCUAAGGCUCAACCUUGGGCUUGCAGUGGGUACGGGCAGACUAGAGUGCGGUAGGGGUGACUGGAAUUCCUGGGUGUAGCGGUGAAAUGCGCAGAUAUCAGGAGGAACACCGGUGGGCGAAGGCGGGUCUCUGGGCCGAU
rnacentral:rRNA from 1 species